rnacentral:rRNA from 1 species
AGUGAACGCUGGCGGUAGGCCUAACACAUGCAAGUCGAACGGCCGCACAGUAAGAGCUUGCUCUUACUGGUGGCGAGUGGCGGACGGGUGAGGCAUACAUCGGAAUCUACUUUUUCGUGGGGGAUAACGUAGGGAAACUUACGCUAAUACCGCAUACUACCUACGGGUGAAAGCAGGGGAGCUUCGGACCUUGCGCGAUUGAAUGAGCCGAUGUCGGAUUAGCUAGUUGGCGGGGUAAAGGCCCACCAAGGCGACGAUGCGUAGCCGGUCUGAGAGGAUGAUCAGCCACACUGGAACUGAGACACGGUCCAGACUCCUACGGGAGGCAGCAGUGGGGAAUAUUGGGCAAUGGGCGCAAGCCUGACCCAGCCAUGCCGCGUGAGUGAAGAAGGUCUUCGGGUUGUAAAGCCCUUUUGUUAGGAAAGAAAAGCAGCAGGUGUAAACCUCGCUGUUCUGACGGUACCCAAUGAGAAAGCACCGGCUAACUUCGCG